UACAUGCAGGACGUCUUCCACUACCCC
rnacentral:piRNA from 1 species